rnacentral:rRNA from 1 species
UACGUAGGGUGCGAGCGUUGUCCGGAAUUAUUGGGCGUAAAGAGCUCGUAGGCGGUGUGUCGCGUCGGUCGUGAAAACUUGGGGCUUAACCCUGAGCUUGCGGUCGAUACGGGCAUCACUUGAGUUCGGCAGGGGAGACUGGAACUCCUGGUGUAGCGGUGAAAUGCGCAGAUAUCAGGAAGAACACCGGUGGCGAAGGCGGGUCUCUGGGCCGAUACUGACGCUGAGGAGCGAAAGCGUGGGGAGCGAACAGG